rnacentral:rRNA from 1 species
GUGUCAGCCGCCGCGGUAACACGUAGGGGGCGAGCGUUGUCCGGAAUUACUGGGUGUAAAGGGUGCGUAGGCGGCCUUGCAAGUCAGAUGUGAAAGAUCACGGCUUAACUGUGGUAAGCAUUUGAAACUGUAAGGCUUGAGUGCAGGAGAGGAGAGUGGAAUUCCUAGUGUAGCGGUGAAAUGCGUAGAUAUUAGGAAGAAUAUCAGUGGCGAAGGCGGCUCUCUGGACUGCAACUGACGCUGAGGCACGAAAGCGUGGGGAGCAAACAGGAUUAGAUACCCUGGUAGUCCACGCUGUAAACGAUGAGUGCUAGGUGUCGGGGGUCAUACCUCGGUGCCGCAGUUAACGCAUUAAGCACUCCACCUGGGGAGUACGGCCGCAAGGCUGAA